rnacentral:rRNA from 1 species
GACGAACGCUGGCGGCGUGCUUAACACAUGCAAGUGGAGCGACGAACCAGGCUUCGGCCUGGGGCAAAGCCGCGAACGGGUGAGUAACACGUGGGUAACCUGCCCCGAUGACCGGGACAACCCGAGGAAACUCGGGCUAAUACCGGAUGUGCUCGUGGUCCUCAAGAGCCACGCGUAAAGGAAGCUUCGGCCUCCGCAUUGGGAUGGGCCCGCGGCCCAUUAGCUUGUUGGUGAGGUAAAGGCUCACCAAGGCCACGAUGGGUAGCUGGUCUGAGAGGACGAUCAGCCACACUGGGACUGAGACACGGCCCAGACUCCUACGGGAGGCAGCAGUGGGGAAUCUUGCGCAAUGCGCGAAAGCGUGACGCAGCAACGCCGCGUGGGGGAAGAAGGCCUUCGGGUUGUAAACUCCUUUCAGGAGGGACGAAGGGCGGGCCACGAAUAGUGAGCUCGUCUGACGGUACCUCCAGAAGAAGCCCCGGCUAACUACGUGCCAGCCGCCGCCGUAAUAC